AAGUCGUAACAAGGUUUCCGUAGGUGAACCUGCGGAAGGAUCAUUAUUGAAUAAACUUGAUGUGGUUGUAGCUGGCUCUCUAGGGAGCAUGUGCACGCCCGUCAUCUUUAUAAUUUCCACCUGUGCACCUUUUGUAGACCCAGAAGGGCUUUCGAGUCCGUUUGGGCCUAUGUUUUAUCAUAUACCCCAUAGUAUGUAUUAGAAUGGUAUCAGUGGGCUUUUAUUGGCCUAUAAAACACUAUACAACUUUCAGCAACGGAUCUCUUGGCUCUC
rnacentral:misc_RNA from 1 species